rnacentral:lncRNA from 1 species
UUUAACAAUGGCUUGUAACCCAUGUGGGGGCUUUAAGGUGGUUGGAGGUUGGUUCAUUGUAUCUUGUCGGAACUCUUAAGAGGACUACUUGCUCGCCCAUUCCAAGAAGGGAGUUGGGCCUCGCAUUCUAGACGAAAGUCCAAAGUGCGAUGCCUUUAGAUUGGAGGAAACCGCGUGAGGUUGGCCUUACAGAGCAGUGUCACCUCCUGCUCUCGUCGGUGGACGGAUAACGUGCAAGUUCUUGAACAAAGUCUGUCCCAAGCCCGUGUCCUAUUUUACUUACACAUUCAAUUCACCUCCUGCUCUCGUCGGUGGACGGAUAACGUGCAAGUUCUUGAACAAAGUCUGUCCCAAGCCCGUGUCCAAUUUUACUUACACAUUCAAUUUGCGAAUGACACCGUUGUUCGGUGCUUCUUUGGUACAAACGUACGUGGGUCUUUUAUGAACACGCAUACAUUCAUUGCCAAACGUGUCCCACAUUGAAAAUUUUUGAAUCUACAAGUCUGUGUAUGUAUGGAAAAGGUGCUUCUUUGGUACAAACGUACGUCGGUCUUUUAUGAACACGCAUACAUUCAUUGCCAAACGUGUCCCACAUUGAAAAUUUUUGAAUCUACAAGUCUGUGUAUGUAUGGAAAAGUUGAGCGUUUCCAUCGCCGAGCCACUUAACAAUGGCUUGUAACCCAAGUGGGGGCUUUAAGGUGGUUGGAGGUUGGUUCAUCGUAUCUUGUCGGAACCUUAAGAGGACUACUUGCUUGCCCAUUCCAAGAAGGGAGUUGGGCCUCGCAUUCUAGACGAAAGUCCAAAGUGCGAUGCCUUUAGAUUGGAGGAAACCGCGUGAGGUUGGCCUUACAGAGCAGCGUCACCUCCUGCUCUCGUCGGUGGACGGAUAACGUGCAAGUUCUUGAGAGCCCAAUUACCCUGGUACGAAGUUCAAAACAAGACAACCAACUUUUUGCAUCUUUGUUCGUACAAACUCUUGAGAAUAUUUUUCCAACACUUUUUCUAAUACUUCACGACGUUCUUUUGUAGACGGACCGUUCUAUUCGGCUUGGGCUUCGACUUUAUGGACAUAAGUAUAUAGCAGUACAGUUGUGUCGUAGAAUCAUUACAUGCUCACUUUUGAUGCAUUUUCUUUGUGGUCUUACAUAAAUUUCAAACAACAAAGUGUCCCAAGCCCGUAUCCUAUUUUACUUACACAUCCAUUUUGCGAAUCCACCGUUGUUCGAUGCUUCUUUGGUACAAACGUACGUGGGUCUUUUAUGAACACGCAUACAUUCAUUGCCAAACUUGUCCCACAUUGAAAUUUUUGAAUCUACAAGUCUUGUGUAUGUAUGGAAAAGUUGAGCGUUACCAUCGUCGAGCACUUAACAAUGGCUUGUAACCCAAGUGGGGGCUUUAAGGUGGUUGGAGGUUGGUUCAUCGUAUCUUGUCGGAACUCUUAAGAGGACUACUUGCUUGCCCAUUCCAAGAAGGGAGUUGGGCCUCGCAUUCUAGACGAAAGUCCAAAGUGCGAUGCCUUUAGAUUGGAGGAAACCGCGUGAGGUUGGCCUUACAGAGCAGCGUCACCUCCUGCUCUCGUCGGUGGACGGAUAACGUGCAAGUUCUUGAGAGCCCAAUUACCCUGGUACGAAGUUCAAAACAAGACAACCAACUUUUUGCAUCUUUGUUCGUACAAACUCUUGAGAAUAUUUUUCCAACACUUUUUCUAAUACUUCACGACGUUCUUUUGUAGACGGACCGUUCUAUUCGGCUUGGGCUUCGACUUUAUGGACAUAAGUAUAUAGCAGUACAGUUGUGUCGUAGAAUCAUUACAUGCUCACUUUUGAUGCAUUUUCUUUGUGGUCUUACAUAAAUUUCCAACAAAGUCUGUCCCAAGCCCGUAUCCGAUUUUAGUUACACAUCCAAUUUGCGAAUCACACCGUUGUUCGGUGCUUCUUUGGUACAAACGUACGUGGGUCUUUUAUGAACACGCAUACAUUCAUUGCCAAACUUGUCCCACAUUGAAAAUUUUUGAAUCUACAAGUCUGUGUAUGUAUGGAAAAGUUGAGCUUUACCAUCGCCGAGCCACUUAACAAUGGCUUGUAACCCAAGUGGGGGCUUUAAGGUGGUUGGAGGUUGGUUCAUCGUAUCUUGUCGGAACUCUUAAGAGGACUACUUGCUUGCCCAUUCCAAGAAGGGAGUUGGGCCUCGCAUUCUAGACGAAAGUCAAAGUGCGAUGCCUUUAGAUUGGAGGAAACCGCGUGAGGUUGGCCUUACAGAGCAGCGUCACCUCCUGCUCUCGUCGGUGGACGGAUAACGUGCAAGUUCUUGAGAGCCCAAUUACCCUGGUACGAAGUUCAAAACAAGACAACCAACUUUUUGCAUCUUUGUUCGUACAAACUCUUGAGAAUAUUUUUCCAACACUUUUUCUAAUACUUCACGACGUUCUUUUGUAGACGGACCGUUCUAUUCGGCUUGGGCUUCGACUUUAUGGACAUAAGUAUAUAGCAGUACAGUUGUGUCGUAGAAUCAUUACAUGCUCACUUUUGAUGCAUUUUUUUUGGUCUUACAUAAAUUUCCAACAAAGUCUGUCCCAAGCCCGUAUCCGAUUUUAGUUACACAUCCAAUUUGCGAAUCACACCGUUGUUCGGUGCUUCUUUGGUACAAACGUACGUGGGUCUUUUAUGAACACGCAUACAUUCAUUGCCAAACUUGUCCCACAUUGAAAAUUUUUGAAUCUACAAGUCUGUGUAUGUAUGGAAAAGUUGAGCUUUACCAUCGCCGAGCCACUUAACAAUGGCUUGUAACCCAAGUGGGGGCUUUAAGGUGGUUGGAGGUUGGUUCAUCGUAUCUUGUCGGAACUCUUAAGAGGACUACUUGCUUGCCCAUUCCAAGAAGGGAGUUGGGCCUCGCAUUCUAGACGAAAGUCCAAAGUGCGAUGCCUUUAGAUUGGAGGAAACCGCGUGAGGUUGGCCUUACAGAGCAGCGUCACCUCCUGCUCUCGUCGGUGGACGGAUAACGUGCAAGUUCUUGAGAGCCCAAUUACCCUGGUACGAAGUUCAAAACAAGACAACCAACUUUUUGCAUCUUUGUUCGUACAAACUCUUGAGAAUAUUUUUCCAACACUUUUUCUAAUACUUCACGACGUUCUUUUGUAGCCGGACCGUUCUAUUCGGCUUGGGCUUGACUUUAUGGACAUAAGUAUAUAGCAGUACAGUUGUGUCGUAGAAUCAUUACAUGCUCACUUUUGAUGCAUUUUCUUUGUCGUCUUACAUAAAUUUCCAACAAAGUCUUGUCCCAAGCCGUAUCCGAUUUUACUUACACAUCCAUUUGUGAAUCACACCGUUGUUCGUGCUUCUUUGGUACAAACGUACGUGGGUCUUUUAUGAACACGCAUACAUUCAUUGCCAAACUUGUCCCACAUUGAAUUUUUGAAUCUACAAGUCUGUGUAUGUAUGGAAAAGUUGAGCGUUACCAUCGCCGAGCCACUUAACAAUGGCUUGUAACCCAAGUGGGGGCUUUAAGGUGGUUGGAGGUUGGUUCAUCGUAUCUUGUCGGAACUCUUAAGAGGACUACUUGCUUGCCCAUUCCAAGAAGGGAGUUGGGCCUCGCAUUUUAGACGAAAGUCCAAAGUGCGAUGCCUUUAGAUUGGAGGAAACCGCGUGAGGUUGGCCUUACAGAGCAGCGUCACCUCCUGCUCUCGUCGGUGGACGGAUAACGUGCAAGUUCUUGAGAGCCCAAUUACCCUGGUACGAAGUUCAAAACAAGACAACCAACUUUUUGCAUCUUUGUUCGUACAAACUCUUGAGAAUAUUUUUCCAACACUUUUUCUAAUACUUCACGACGUUCUUUUGUAGCCGGACCGUUCUAUUCGGCUUGGGCUUCGACUUUCUGGACAUAAGUAUAUAGCAGUACAGUUGUGUCGUAGAAUCAUUACAUGCUCACUUUUGAUGCAUUUUCUUUGUCGUCUUACAUAAAUUUCCAACAAAGUCUUUCCCAAGCUCGUAUACUAUUUUACUUACACAUCCAUUUUGUGAAUCACACCGUUGUUCGAUGCAUCUUUGGUACAAACGUACGUGGGUCUUUUAUGAACACGCAUACAUUCAUUGCCAAACUUGUCCCACAUUGAAAAUUUUUGAAUCUACAAGUCUGUGUAUGUAUGGAAAAGUUGAGCGUUACCAUCGCCGAGCCAUUUAACAAUGGCUUGUAACCCAAGUGGGGGCUUUAAGGUGGUUGGAGGUUGGUUCAUCGUAUCUUGUCGGAACUCUUAAGAGGACUACUUGCUUGCCCAUUCCAAGAAUGGAGUUGGGCCUCGCAUUUUAGACGAAAGUCCAAAGUGCGAUGCCUUUAGAUUGGAGGAAACCGCGUGAGGUUGGCCUUACAGAGCAGCGUCACCUCCUGCUCUCGUCGGUGGACGGAUAACGUGCAAGUUCUUGAGAGCCCAAUUACCCUGGUACGAAGUUCAAACAAGACAACCAACUUUUUGCAUCUUUGUUCGUACAAACUCUUGAGAAAUUUUUUCCAACACUUUUUCUAAUACUUCACCACGUUCUUUUGUAGCCGGACCGUUCUAUUCGGCUUGGGCUUCGACUUUAUGGACAUAAGUAUAUAGCAGUACAGUUGUGUCGUAGAAUCAUUACAUGCUCACUUUUGAUGCAUUUUCUUUGUCGUCUUACAUAAAUUUCCAACAAAGUCUGUCCCAAGCCCGUAUCCGAUUUUACUUACACAUCCAAUUUGCGAAUCACACCGUUGUUCGGUGCUUCUUUGGUACAAACGUACGUGGGUCUUUUAUGAACACGCAUACAUUCAUUGCCAAACUUGUCCCACAUUGAAAAUUUUUGAAUCUACAAGUCUGUGUAUGUAUGGAAAAGUUGAGCUUACCAUCGCCGAGCCACUUAACAAUGGCUUGUAACCCAAGUGGGGGCUUUAAGGUGGUUGGAGGUUGGUUCAUCGUAUCUUGUCGGAACUCUUAAGAGGACUACUUGCUUGCCCAUUCCAAGAAGGAGUUGGGCCUCGCAUUCUAGACGAAAGUCCAAAGUGCGAUGCCUUUAGAUUGGAGGAAACCGCGUGAGGUUGGCCUUACAGAGCAGCGUCACCUCCUGCUCUCGUCGGUGGACGGAUAACGUGCAAGUUCUUGAGAGCCCAAUUACCCUGGUACGAAGUUCAAAACAAGACAACCAACUUUUUGCAUCUUUGUUCUCACAAACUCUUGAGAAUAUUUUUCCAACAUUUUUUCUAAUACUUCACGACGUUCUUUUGUAGACGGACCGUUCUAUUCGGCUUGGGCUUCGACUUUAUGGACAUAAGUAUAUAGCAGUACAGUUGUGUCGUAGAAUCAUUACAUGCUCACUUUUGAUGCAUUUUCUUUGUCGUUUUACAUAAAUUUCCAACAAAGUAUGUCCCAAGCCCGUAUCCGAUUUUACUUACACAUCCAAUUUGCGAAUCACACCAUUGUUCGGUGUUUCUUUGGUACAAACGUACGUGGGUCUUUUAUGAACACGCAUACAUAUAUUGCCAAACUUGUCCCACAUUGAAAUUUUUUGAAUCUACAAGUAUGUGUAUGUAUGGAAAAGUUGAGCGUUACCAUCGUCGAGCCACUUAACAAUGGCUUGUAACCCAAGUGGGGGCUUUAAGGUGGUUGGAGGUUGGUUCAUCGUAUCUUGUCGGAACUCUUAAGAGGACUACUUGCUUGCCCAUUCCAAGAAGGGAGUUGGGCCUCGCAUUCUAGACGAAAGUCCAAAGUGCGAUGCCUUUAGAUUGGAGGAAACCGCGUGAGGUUGGCCUUACAGAGCAGCGUCACCUCCUGCUCUCGUCGGUGGACGGAUAACGUGCAAGUUCUUGAGAGCCCAAUUACCCUGGUACGAAGUUCAAAACAAGACAACCAACUUUUUGCAUCUUUGUUCGUACAAACUCUUGAGAAUAUUUUUCCAACACUUUUUCUAAUACUUCACGACGUUCUUUUGUAGCGGACCGUUCUAUUCGGCUUGGGCUUCGACUUUAUGGACAUAAGUAUAUAGCAGUACAGUUGUGUCGUAGAAUCAUUACAUGCUCACUUUUGAUGCAUUUUCUUUGUGGUCUUACCUAAAUUUCCAACAAAGUCUGUCCCAAGCCCGUAUCCUAUUUUACUUACACAUCCAUUUUGUGAAUCACACCGUUGUUCGAUGCUUCUUUGGUACAAAGGUACGUGGGUCUUUUAUGAACACGCAUACUUUCAUUGCCAAACUUGUCCCACAUUGAAAAUUUUUGAAUCUACAAGUCUGUGUAUGUAUGGAAAAGUUGAGCGUUACCAUCGUCGAGCAAUUUAACAAUGGCUUGUAACCCAUGUGGGGGCUUUAAGGUGGUUGGAGGUUGGUUCAUUGUAUCUUGUCGGAACUCUUAAGAGGACUACUUGGCCCAUUCCAAGAAGGGAGUUGGGCCUCGCAUUCUAGACGAAAGUCCAAAGUGCGAUGCCUUUAGAUUGGAGGAAACCGCGUGAGGUUGGCCUUACAGAGCAGCGUCACCUCCUGCUCUCGUCACUCGUGCUUCUUGACGUCGUACGGAUAACGUGCAAGUUCUUGAGAGCCCAAUACCCUGGUACGAAGUUCAAAAGACAACCAACUUUUUGCAUCUUUGUUCGUACAAACUCUUGAGAAUAUUUUCCAACACUUUUUCUAAUACUUCACGACGUUUUUUGUAGACGGACCGUUCUAUUCGGCUUGGCUUCGACUUUAUGGACAUAAGUAUAUAGCAGUACAGUUGUGUCGUAGAAUCAUUACAUGCUCACUUUUGAUGCAUUUUCUUUGUGUCUUACAUAAAUUUUCAACAAAGUCUGUCCCAAGCCCGUAUCCGAUUUUAGUUACACAUCCAAUUUACGAAUCACACCGUUGUUCGGUGCUUCUUUGGUACAAACGUACGUGGGUCUUUUAUAAACACGCAUACAUUCAUUGCCAAACUUGUCCCACAUUGAAAAUUUUUGAAUCUACAAGUCUGUGUAUGUAUGGAAAAGUUGAGCGUUACCAUCGCCGAGCCAUGGCUUGUAACCCAAGUGGGGGCUUUAAGGUGGUUGGAGGUUGGUUCAUCGUAUCUUGUCGGAACUCUUAAGAGGACUACUUGCUUGCCCAUUCCAAGAAGGGAGUUGGGCCUCGCAUUCUAGACGAAAGUCUAAAGUGCGAUGCCUUUAGAUUGGAGGAAACCGCGUGAGGUUGGCCUUACAGAGCAGCGUCACCUCCUUCUCUCGUCGGUGGACGGAUAACGUGCAAGUUCUUGAGAGCCCAAUUACCCUGGUACGAAGUUCAAAACAAGACAACAACUUUUUGCAUCUUUGUUCGUACAAACUCUUGAGAAUAUUUUUCCAACACUUUUUCUAAUACUUCACGACGUUCUUUUGUAGCCGGACCGUUCUAUUCGGCUUGGGCUUCGACUUUAUGGACAUAAGUAUAUAGCAGUACAGUUGUGUCGUAGAAUCAUUACAUGCUCACUUUUGAUGCAUUUUCUUUGUCGUUUUACAUAAAUUUCCAACAAAGUAUGUCCCAAGCCCGUAUCCGAUUUUACUUACAUAUCCAAUUUGCGAAUCACACCGUUGUUCGGUGUUUCUUUGGUACAAACGUACGUGGGUCUUUUAUGAACACGCAUACAUAUUUGCCAAACUUGUCCCACAUUGAAAUUUUUGAAUCUACAAGUCUGUGUAUGUAUGGAAAAGUUGAGCGUUACCAUCGUCGAGCCACUUAACAAUGGCUUGUAACCCAAGUGGGGGCUUUAAGGUGGUUGGAGGUUGGUUCAUCGUAUCUUGUCGGAACUCUUAAGAGGACUACUUGCUUGCCCAUUCCAAGAAGGGAGUUGGGCCUCGCAUUCUAGACGAAAGUCCAAAGUGCGAUGCCUUUAGAUUGGAGGAAACCGCGUGAGGUUGGCCUUACAGAGCAGCGUCACCUCCUGCUCUCAUCGGUGGACGGAUAACGUGCAAGUUUUUGAGAGCCCAAUUACCUUGGUACGAAGUUCAAAACAAGACAACCAACUUUUUU